rnacentral:rRNA from 1 species
AAUGGGCGCGAGCCUGACCCAGCCAUGCCGCGUGCAGGAAGACGGCCUUAUGGGUUGUAAGCUGCUUUUGUACAGGGAUAAACCUACCCUCGUGAGGGUAGCUGAAGGUACUGUACGAAUAAGCACCGGCUAACUCCGUGCCAGCAGCCGCGGUAAUACGGAGGGUGCAAGCGUUAUCCGGAUUUAUUGGGUUUAAAGGGUCCGUAGGCGGAUGCGUAAGUCAGUGGUGAAAUCUCACAGCUCAACUGUGAAACUGCCAUUGAUACUGCGUGUCUUGAGUGAGGUUGAAGUAGCUGGAAUAAGUAGUGUAGCGGUGAAAUGCAUAGAUAUUACUUAGAACACCAAUUGCGGAGGCAGGUUACUAAGUCUCAACUGACGCUGAUGGACGAAAGCGUGGGGAGCGAA